UCCUCCUCUUUUCCCUUGCUAUGCUUAGAGUUUAGGUGUGGAACAGAUCUAGCACAAAUGCUGUUUAAGGCCUACAAAUCACAAGUGGAUCCAGCAGUUCAUCAGAAGAUAAUCUGCAUGUGGAAACGUGGAUUGUCACAAAUCAACUUUCACGGGGUCACAAAGAACUUCUGGAGGAAAGGGAACGAGGCAAAGAUCAGUUAUUCUUGAGCUCACAGAUCACCAGACCCAACCAUGUGGAUGAACUGGACCUAUGCAGGACAUGUAGACUGGAGGCAGAAAAAGUAGCAAAAGAAGAAAUGGUCUCCUAAGGAACAAAGACUACAGAUGUAACAGUUUCAACCAUGGUACAGAAACGGCUGACAGGUACUUUCACCCUUGGGCUCCAAUUCCUUCUUCACACACAGCAAUAUUUAAAGCCAGCUAUGAUGCAACAUUAACUUGGAAGCUUACAAGUUUGCAAACCAAAACAAUGAUUAUAUCAAGCCUUUCUAAGAAGAUCAACAACAUGUGACUCCACUGUACCGCCAAUUUAACAGCCACAGAAAGUUACCAAAGAAAGUUUUUAAAAAGCAAGUAUUUUAAGAACAAAAGUAACCAUUCAAUAAUUAGAAUACAGGAGACAUUACUUCAUUAACGCUAGCAAUUUCAACUUUUGAAGUGAAGAGAAGAGCACACACAAGUAAAAGAUAAUCAAACACUGGAUACUGAAGCAAUUCAAACUUGGUGACUAUGACUGAGAAUUAACUUAAGUAUCUUACUUCCAUGGAGUUAAGAGCACAAAGGAUUUAAAGCUGAACUUCACAACACAGUUUAAAGCUCACUUUAUGAGCCUUGGCAUUUAUGAAAGCAUUUUCUGCACUAACCUUUCUCACCUAAAGCACUGGUAUAAGCUCUUCAGAAACAUGAUGCAUGCAAUUCCUGACACAACGUAUUUUACCUUCACCCAGAGCAGCCGGUAGUUCUCCUGGUUCUGAAGGAGAAGGCUGCCUGCCCACACGUCCAGCAAAAAAGCCUCAGUAUGGAAGAUUCCCAACCUGAGGCUAGGAGUUUCUUGUACAUCCUUGGCUCUGGAGUUCACUAUUCCUUUUAUUCUGAAUUUUGAGCCAUUUACAAGUUGUGAUGACCAGACAGUUCUGAG